GUUGCGCGUCUCCGGGUCAUCUUCGAUGAAACCCAAAACGUUCAUACUGCUUCAGCCACAGAGUGCUCUACUAACCAUGAAGAAGAGGAACCAAUCAUACAGACGGAGUCAACCCCAGACGGUACCUUCCACCCCACCAAGCCCACAGAUUUUCCGCGCCAUUGCCGGAAAAAUCUCCUCCUCUUCUUCUUCAUACUCUUCCAAGAAGCCCUUGAGCCUUACCCUCACCACUCAACAAGACACCAAUUGGGUGCCCUUAAACCUCGGCAGAACCGAGCUCUACCUGCCCUUGACCUUCCCCACAGGCCAGACUUUCAGGUGGAAGCAGACGGGCCCACUCCAGUUCACCGGGGUCGUCGGUGGGUCCCACUUGGUCUCCCUGAAGCAAUUGGAGAAUGGAGAUGUCGGUUACCAUCUCCACCGCACAACCAGCGUGGAUGAUGAUGAUGUUGCCCUUGCCAGGGCCGCCUUGCGUGAUUUUCUCAAUGUGGGGAUUUCUCUUGGUGAGAUUUGGGAGACAUUUAAGACCUCCGAUCCUAGAUUUGCCGAGUUGGCCGAUCAUUUGGGAGGGGCCAGAGUGCUCAGGCAGGACCCUCUUGAGUGCCUAAUCCAGUUCAUUUGCUCCUCUAAUAACAAUAUUAAGAGAAUUACAUUGAUGGUUGAUUUCAUUUCGUCAUUGGGGAAUUAUUUGGGCACUGUUGAAGGGUUUAAAUUUUACGAAUUCCCAACCUUGGACCGGCUAUCGAGGGUUUCUGACGCUGAGCUCAGGGAGGCUGGUUUUGGUUACAGGGCAAAAUAUAUAAUAGGUACUGUGAAGGCAUUACAGUCAAAACCAGGGGGAGGUUAUGAAUGGCUUGCUUCACUUCGUGAGAGAGAUCUUCAUGAGGCUGUUGAUAGUCUUUGUACUCUGCCUGGUGUUGGUCCCAAGGUUGCAGCCUGUGUUGCUCUCUUCUCUUUGGAUCAACACCAUGCCAUUCCUGUUGAUACUCAUGUCUGGCAGAUUGCAACUAGGUACCUCAUCCCUGAGCUGGCAGGAACCAGUUUGACACCUAAACUUUGCACUCGCGUAGCAGAUGCCUUUGUGAACAAAUAUGGAAAAUAUGCUGGCUGGGCCCAAACUCUUCUUUUCAUUGCGGAACUUCCAACACAAAAAGCAGUCUUGCCAUCAUCAUUUCAAAACACCAAAGAAGAAAAACAUUUUGAAAAGAAAAGAAAAAUGGGUGGAAACCAAAAAAUACUAAAUGAAUGAUAAGAUUUGCACGGUUCUUUUCCAUAUUAUUCAACAUUGAUCCAUUGUAACCGAGCAAGGUGUCUAUUGCUCGAACUUAUGAUUCAUAUCAUAAGUAGAAAUGGGUUCCAGGAGAUUGGAACAGAGAAUCUUGGGAUUUGGGAAACUGUCAAUGGAGAAUGGUCAUUUUGUGCUAAAAGGAGUUUCUAGUAAUGCUUUUGGUCUCUUUCAGUUCCUCCAUGGUUUUCAACUGGAAUCUGUUGAACCAACAAGGAAAGAUGAAAGUUUGAGUUGAAGUAAUUACAGGUAAUCCGACCGUUGCACUCAGCAGGGAAAUGUUGUUCAUUCCCUCAUUCAGAGAAACUGUGCUCUCUAGUGUAAAACUUGAGCUCCUAAAAGCUCCAUGUGCAGAACCUGAAAACAUGAGAGCAAAAUCAGUAGUAACUUUUAUUAGAUGUUUCUAGGAUAGAGGCAAUUGCUAUGAGAGGUUUUAUUAUGCUUUUAAUAUGGCUAGUAAAUCUAUUUUCAGUAUCCAACACAAUAAGAGAAAAUAUCUACAAACACCAUGUAAGGAAGGCCCCUGAAAGUUGAGCUCAGGUGCUUAGAAAAUGAGGUUCAAAUUCCCUGUACAAAACUCUACAGAAAUAAGAAUACUCUUGAUAUUCCUUGGUGGAUUUGCAAAUGCCUUUAAUACCACUAUGGAUAGCUUGGGAAUUUCA